UGUGAUGCUUAUACAGAAAAUGAACUUU
rnacentral:piRNA from 1 species